ACUCAUCCCCUUUGCGGUGACUUGUUAGUCCGCAAUUUAGAAUCUCGACGCUUGUGAGCCUGCAACCAAGAGAUGAGAAACAUGAAGAUUUUUCUCUUCGCCCUGGCACUACUCAUGCUAUCUUCAGAUAUGGCAACCUCCCUCCAGUGCAGACAUGUCCUUAAAAGUGGCCCAUGUCAAAUCGAUGAUUGUAGAGCUUACUGCAAUAAGAUACCUAGAGUGCCCUCACCCAAAAAUCCCGACGUGUGUGUUCCCGAGGGAUGCAAGUGUGUAGUAUGUGGAGGGGUGCAAGCAGGGAUGUAGUGUUCCCUCUAAGGUUGCUGAACUAAUGGUAAUGGUCUCACAUACCAUGUGGCCUUGUAUAUUUAUCAAGGUCAAUAUUGAUAGAGAAUAAUAAAAAUGUCAUCAUCUUGCA